AUCAGUUUUAAUAUAUUAUAAUAUGUUAAAUUUCCACUUUAAAAAUCUUUUAAUAAAGAAACUGAA
rnacentral:tRNA from 1 species